UGGGGAAUAUUGCACAAUGGGCGCAAGCCUGAUGCAGCCAUGCCGCGUGUAUGAAGAAGGCCUUCGGGUUGUAAAGUACUUUCAGCGGGGAGGAAGGGAGUAAAGUUAAUACCUUUGCACAUUGACGUUACCCGCAGAAGAAGCACCGGCUAACUCCGUGCCAGCAGCCGCGGUAAUACGGAGGGUGCAAGCGUUAAUCGGAAUUACUGGGCGUAAAGCGCACGCAGGCGGUUUGUUAAGUCAGAUGUGAAAUCCCCGGGCUCAACCCGGGAAUUGCAUCUGAUACUGGUCAGCUAGAGUCUUGUAGAGGGGGGUAGAAUUCCAUGUGUAGCGGUGAAAUGCGUAGAGAUGUGGAGGAAUACCGGUGGCGAAGGCGGCCCCCUGGACAAAGACUGACGCUCAGGUGCGAAAGCGUGGGGAGCAAACAGG
rnacentral:rRNA from 1 species